AUCACAUUGAAGCACCAGUUCCCAUCUGAUCACUGAAGUUAAGCAACAUUGAGUCUGAUCAGUACCUAGAUGUGUGACUACUUGGGAAUAUUAGGUGCUGUAAG